rnacentral:rRNA from 1 species
GACAGAGGGGGCAAGCGUUGUUCGGAAUUACUGGGCGUAAAGGGCGCGUAGGCGGCCAACUAAGUCGGACGUGAAAUCCCCGGGCUCAACCCGGGAACUGCGUCCGAUACUGGAUGGCUUGAAUCCGGGAGAGGGAUGUGGAAUUCCAGGUGUAGCGGUGAAAUGCGUAGAUAUCGUGAGGAACACCAGAGGCGAAGGCGGCUACCUGGACAAUUGCUGACGCUCAGGCACGAAAGCGUGGGGAGCAAAAGGG